rnacentral:rRNA from 1 species
GGGGGGGGGGGGGGGGGGGGUGGGGCGGGGGGGGGGGGCGGGGGGGGGGGGGGGUGGCGGCGGGGGGGUUGGGGGCGGCCGGGUGGGGAGCGCGUGGAGAACCUACCUCUAAGGCGGGGAGAACUUCGGGAAACCGGAGCUAGUGCCGGAUGAUCUUUUGACCCGCAUGGUUCCAAAGUGAACGACGGUCUUGCUGUCACUUAUAUCUGGAUCCGCGCUGCCUUAGCUAGUUGGUAAGGUAACGGCUUACCAAGGCAACGAUGCAUAGCCGACCUGAGAGGGUGAUCGGCCACACUGGAACGGAGACACGGUCCAGACUCCGACGGGAGGCAGCAGUAGGGAAUCUUCCGCAAUGGGCGAAAGCCUGACGGAGCAACGCCGCGUGAGUGAUGAAGGUCUUCGGAUCGUAAAACUCUGUUAUUAGGGAAGAACAUAUGUGUAAGUAACUGUGCACAUCUUGACGGUACCUAAUCAGAAAGCCACGGCUAACUACGUG